AAACGAAAAAAGUGACAUGGUGCAUAAAGUGUCUAUUUUACUGCGGAUUCUGGUAGUGGGCCAGCGCCGGAUCAUUGGCCGCCUUAUCCGUAAUAAUGCUCUGUUUGGAAACAACAACGCAGAGAGUCGAAUUAUAGCGAACUGGAUGUAGUUCCGACAGGUUCCGACCAAGAGCGUGAAGAAUGCCUGUAAAUUUCACGUGAGGGAACCAGUCCGGCACCGGUAUUUGGUGGCACCAGCCCACCUGCGUUCGGUGGUUCCAUUGUGGGCGCAACAUAUACGGCUGCUGACUUUGAAGUAUCGCUAAUUUUUGGUGCCGACCCCGAAUCGUUAGCCACAGCCACAUUCAUGCGCCCUAUUUGGUACCGCUUCCACGGUUACAUCGCUUAUUGGUGGGAUCAUUUCAACACCGGCAGCAUGAGUACAAGAAAUACGGAAACGAAUCGUGGCUAGAAAUCGUACAUAUUUUGGACCCUGCCACUUUGGACUGAGUAAUUUUAAAUUAUAUAAAUUUUACAACACUUUGUUGUUUUACAAUUUAUUUUAUUAACAGGGAAAAUUUACAU